CCGUAGCAAUACGGAGUGGCAGACGGGUGAGUAACACGUGGGAACAUACCCUUCGGUUCGGGAUAACUCAGGGAAACUUGAGCUAAUACCGGAUACGUCCGCGAGGAGAAAGGUUCAUCGCCGGAGGAUUGGCCCGCGUCUGAUUAGCUUGUUGGUGGGGUAACGGCCUACCAAGCCUGGGAUGGGUAGCUGGUCUGAGAGGAUGGCCGGCCACACUGGGACUGAGAGACGGCCCAG
rnacentral:rRNA from 1 species